AGAGUUUGAUCCUGGCUCAGGAUGAACGCUAGCUACAGGCUUAACACAUGCAAGUCGAGGGGCAGCGAGAGAAAGCUUGCUUUCUUUGUCGGCGACCGGCGCACGGGUGAGUAACGCGUAUCCAACCUUCCCUAUAGUAGAGGAUAGCCCGGCGAAAGUCGGAUUAAUACUCUAUGUUAUUCAAUGCGGACAUCUAAGUUGAAUCAAAGAUUAAUCGCUAUAGGAUGGGGAUGCGUCUGAUUAGGUUGUUGGCGGGGUAACGGCCCACCAAGCCUACGAUCAGUAGGGGUUCUGAGAGGAAGGUCCCCCACAUUGGAACUGAGACACGGUCCAAACUCCUACGGGAGGCAGCAGUGAGGAAUAUUGGUCAAUGGGCGAGAGCCUGAACCAGCCAAGUAGCGUGCAGGAUGACGGCCCUAUGGGUUGUAAACUGCUUUUAUACGGGGAUAAAGUGAGGGACGUGUCCUUUAUUGUAGGUACCGUAUGAAUAAGGACCGGCUAAUUCCGUGCC
rnacentral:rRNA from 1 species